rnacentral:lncRNA from 1 species
UUUUUUUCCCGGGGAGUCGGCCUCGGGGCUCUGCUCUCCUACCUCAGUCUGCCCUACCCUGGAAUGGGGAAAAUGCGGACAUGCCACUCAGUCCGGCCGCGAACAGUGCUCCAGAACUCAGAGAGUUUUCCAGACGGGUGGAGAUCGCGUUCCCUGCCCGCCGAGGUCCCAUCGCUUCCCUGCUGGGAAGACAAAUGAGGCGCUUUAGCCGUCUCCACGGCCAGCCCCUCCCUCAUAACCCGAGAUUCUUUGUGGGCUCUUAGUCCAUAGCUGCCUUUGAGGUGGUGUAGACCUUGCUAACCAGGACGGCCCAGUAGGCAGAGCUCAUUUUUAUUCCUGUCUGCAAUCGUGCAAAAACGCCUCUUAUGGAAAAGCCAGAGCGCCAGGAGUCAGCAAAACACACUAAAGAUUGGGCAGUCACUGGGGAGAACACUCAGCCCGCCUGCACCCAGGUGAAAUAUACAGCCUUGUUGCUCACACAAAGCCUGUUUGGUGGUUUCUUCACACGGAUGCAUGUGACAUUUGGUGCUGAAGACCCAGGACAGGAGGACUCCUUUGGGAGACCAGUGCCCUGUUGUCGCCCUCACUCCGUGAGGAGAUCCACCUAUGAUCUCAGGUCCUCAGACCAACCAGCCCAAGGAACAUCUUGCCAAUUUCAAAUCGGAAGAUAGGAGUGUCAGGCCUCUGAGUCCAAGCUAAGCCAUCAAAUCCCCUGUGACCUGCACGUGUACAUCCAGAUGACCUGAAGCAACUGAAGAUCCACAAAAGAAGUGAAAGUAGCCUUAACUGAUGACAUUCCACCAUUGUGAUUUGUUCCUGCCCCACGCUAACUGAUACCAUAUAUUCUUCCCCCGCCCUUGAGAAUGUACUUUGUACACCUAUCCCAAACCUAUAAGAACUAAUGAUAAUCCUACCACCCUUUGCUGACUCUCUUUUUGGACUCAGCCCGCCUGCACCCAGGUGAAAUAAACAGCCCUGUUGCUC